CUUUAACAAUCAGAAAAGUCUCUUGAGCAGUUGGAGGAAACAGAGUCCAGCUGUGAACCUAAGGACCGGGAACUGUGUGUAAGCCUUUGAGAACAGUGUAGAGCCCGCUUAAGUCAGGCAGGAGAAAUAAUGGGCUUACCUACCAACCUACCCAUCAGCCUGCGCACACUCUGUCCUUACAUCCAUUGUGAAUGAGGAAUUCUCUGUCUUCACUGGAGCUUUAAAUGCACACAAGGAAGCCGAGUCAGCCCAGGCGAUGCAGUGUUGUUCGGUGGGACGGCGGCAGCACAGCCGGAGUGAUUCAGAUGUUCUUUAUCUUCCUGUUGCAGUGAAAUGUAGAGGGAAUGUAAGCUGUACGUUUACAGAGGCCCUGAGGAAAUAUAAUACUCCUUCUGCAUUGUGGCUGUGGUAAUGUAAUUAUGCAUAGUUCCUGCACAAGCUAAAGAAAAGAUUUCUAUUCAAGAAUAUAAACAUCGUCUGCAAGAACGCCUUUUCAUUUCAAUAGUAAUAAUGUUUAUAUUAUGUUUCUUUUUCUAAAGCAAGGCCCAGGUGGAUAGGUCAAUAAGAUGAUUCAGUAAACAAGUGUAGGAUAAUUCAUGACGAAAAGUAUGUAUACAUAAUAAGUGUUCUAUCAUUUAA